AUCGGCAGCCAUAUCGCCCUGUAGCCCAAGACUGGUUGCCCACUGAAGCUAAGCAGGGCUGAGCCUGGUCAGUACCUGGAUGGGAGACCUCCUGGGAAAACUAGGUUGCUACUGGAA
rnacentral:rRNA from 1 species